rnacentral:rRNA from 1 species
GACGAACGCUGGCGGCGUGCUUGACACAUGCAAGUCGAACGAUGACGACCGAGCUUGCUCGGUCUGAUUAGUGGCGAACGGGUGAGUAACACGUGAGCAACCUGCCCUUCACUCUGGGAUAACCUCGGGAAAUCGGGGCUAAUACCGGAUAUGAGCUCCUGUCGCAUGGCGGGUGUUGGAAAGUUUUUCGGUGAAGGAUGGGCUCGCGGCCUAUCAGUUUGUUGGUGAGGUAGUGGCUCACCAAGGCGAUGACGGGUAGCCGGCCUGAGGGGGCGACCGGCCACACUGGGACUGAGACACGGCCCAGACUCCUACGGGAGGCAGCAGUGGGGAAUAUUGCACAAUGGGCGAAAGCCUGAUGCAGCGACGCCGCGUGAGGGAUGACGGCCUUCGGGUUGUAAACCUCUUUCAGCAGGGAAGAAGCGAAAGUGACGGUACCUGCAGAAGAAGCGCCGGCUAACUACGUG